CCAUUCCUCCAUAGCAGUGCUGCUCUUCUCCUCUUCUAUCUAUCCAUCCAUCCAGCGAGCCAAGGAACCCCAUCUCCAUCAGCGCUGCUCUUCUCCCAUCUCCAUCAGCGCUGCUCUUCUCCCAUCUCCAUCAGCGCUGCUCUUCUCUCUAUCCGUGCUCCAGCCACACCACACCCACGCGCCCGUGGCUUCCACAGCCCACGACGUCGCGUUCCCCUCUCUCUUCCUUCACCGCGCGGCCGCAUCGCCUGCGACCGAUGGUUGCUUCGCGUUCGUCAGCCGGUUGCGGCGCGGGUUUGGCUGGGCCUGCACGCACGGGGCUGGAUGGGCCUGUGACAGAGGCGCGGCAGCGAUGGCCUGCUCAGGCUCGACCUCGGCGGCUGCUUGACGGGGCCGCGUGCCGACGCUCCGGCGCUCCGGAUCGGCAUGGAUCCGCAGUGGCAUCCUCCUCAUCCUGAUUCUCUCCAUCGUCACCGGCACGGCCUCGGGGUCCGCGCUGGUGGGUGACAGGUGCGCAGCGGGCUCGCAGUCCCCAUGCGGCGCCGGGAUGCGCUGCGCCUCCUACUCCGCCACCUCGUCCACCCCGUUCGCCGCGGCGGCCUCCAACACCGCCGGUCUGCAUACGAAGAAACAGAGGACACGCGAAAGGGAUUUUUUUUACCGAAUCGUUUUUCCCAGAGCCACUUACGUGGGAGUGCGGGUUCAAUCUCCGGAAAAGAGAAGGGCCUUUUUGCAAUAGUGCCACGAUGGGUGUGCGGGAAAACUAAAGGCUCACAUGAUUACUAAAGGCUCACAUGAUUUUUUUUUGGCCCAUAUAUGUAUCCGUACGAAGGAGGCCCAGCACCCAGCAACAGACUUAAAAUUGAGAUCAACGUUUAGUACCACCUCGCCACCUCGUACGUGUUCAAAACUAAU